UGUGAUGUGUGUACUUGUGAUUAUUGUUAUUGAGGUCUGCGAGCCUCCAUUAUAUUUCUCGUUUAUUGUCGGGCCUGCGUGCCUAUGAUUAAGUUGUAAUCACAUGAGGAGGUGCAGCGGGAGCGUGGAUGCGAUAGCGGGACCCACGAGACGGACGAUCGUGAUGCAUGGAGAUGCAUCAAGAUGUCGACGGAACCGACGAGGACGAGAUGGACGAUCAUAGGGCAUGGAGAUGCACCGUUGCAC
rnacentral:lncRNA from 1 species